rnacentral:rRNA from 1 species
AUACGUAGGUGGCAAGCGUUGUCCGGAAUUAUUGGGCGUAAAGGGUUCGUAGGCGGUCUUUUAAGUCUGAUGUGAAAGCCCACGGCUUAACCGUGGAAGGUCAUUGGAAACUGGAAGACUUGAGUACAGGAGAGGAAAGUGGAAUUCCUAGUGUAGCGGUGAAAUGCGUAGAUAUUAGGAGGAACACCAGUGGCGAAGGCGGCUUUCUGGCCUGUAACUGACGCUGAUGAACGAAAGCGUGGGGAGCAAACAGGAUUAGAUACCCUGUAGUCCACGCCGUAAACGUUGAGUGCUAAGUGUCGGGGGAGACCUCGGUGCUGAAGUUAACGCAUUAAGCACUCCGCCUGGGGAGUACGGUCGCAAGACUGAA